rnacentral:lncRNA from 1 species
UAUAUAUAUGAGUGGGCUGGUAUGCUUAUGGAAGCACGGAGGGCUCCGUGCUUUCACUUUGUUUUCGAUGUUCAGACUUUCGAAUCAAUGAUCGGCUCCGUUAGAGUUGAUUUAGAGUAUUUGAAGUACCUAGAAAAUAAAUUUUGCAAUUUUUCGAUAUCAUUUGCCUAGUGAUCAAAGGGGCUCAAAAUCAAUAAUUUUAACGGCCGUGGUGAGCCAGUUGCUAGUUUAACGGUGUAGAAAUAUCCAAAUCACAUGAAAUUUUGAUAGAAAAUUCUUUAUACCAUAUAAAACAAAAUCAAUAAUUUUGAUCUAAAAUUUUAAUAUCAUAUCAUUAUAUUU